rnacentral:tRNA from 1 species
UCCCUGGUGGCUCAGAUGGUAAAGCAUCUGCCUACAAUGCAGGAGACCCAGGUUCGAUCCCUGGUUUGGGAA